rnacentral:rRNA from 1 species
CGCUACUACCGAUUGAAUGGCUCAGUGAGGCCUUCGGACUGGCUCAGGGAGGUCGGCAACGACCACCCAGAGCCGGAAAGUUGGUCAAACUCGGUCAUUUAGAGGAAGUAAAAGUCGUAACAAGGUCUCCGUAGGUGAACCUGCGGAGGGAUCAUUA